rnacentral:rRNA from 1 species
CGGUGAAUACGUUCCCGGACCCUUGUACACACCGCCCGUCAAGCCAUGGAAGCUAGGGUGUACCUAAAAUCGAUAACCGCAAGGAGUCGCCUAAGGGUAAAACGUAGUAACGUGGGGCU